GACGAACGCUGGCGGCGCGCCUAACACAUGCAAGUCGAACGAGCGAGAGAGAGCUUGCUUUCUCGAGCGAGUGGCGAACGGGUGAGUAACGCGUGAGGAACUUGCCUCAAAGAGGGGGACAACAGUUGGAAACGACUGCUAAUACCGCAUAAGCCCACGGUGCCGCAUGGCACAGAGGGAAAAGGAGCAAUCCGCUUUGAGAUGGCCUCGCGUCCGAUUAGCUAGUUGGUGAGGUAAUGGCCCACCAAGGCGACGAUCGGUAGCCGGACUGAGAGGUUGAACGGCCACAUUGGGACUGAGACACGGCCCAGACUCCUACGGGAGGCAGCAGUGGGGAAUAUUGCACAAUGGGGGAAACCCUGAUGCAGCGACGCCGCGUGGAGGAAGAAGGUCUUCGGAUUGUAAACUCCUGUUGUUGGGGAAGAUAAUGACGGUACCCAACAAGGAAGUGACGGCUAACUACGUG
rnacentral:rRNA from 1 species